rnacentral:tRNA from 1 species
GCUGCAAGGGGUAGUUUAAGUAGAAUUUCAGCUUUGGGUGCUGAUGGUAGGACUUGAGUCUUUCCCU